rnacentral:snoRNA from 1 species
ACCCAAAGCUCUUUGUCAGGAUGUUUCUUUUAACUCUUUUUUUUAACGAGUGGUAACAACGGAUAUGUCUGUUAAAGCAUUGGGAAAGUAAUAUUAUUCUCGUUACUCCAGUUUUCGUUUUGAAAACACAAUGAGCAAUGUUUUUGAAGAAAUGCUUUGUUUUAAAGCUGUUUCUUUGAUUAUUUGAAUAAUGAAGCUUUUUUGAGUUGAGUAACGGUUUGAAGGUCCAGUUGUUCUGAGACUUUCAUCAAUUCGUACUCGUAGUAAAAAGCUUCACAUCG